rnacentral:rRNA from 1 species
AGAGUUUGAUCAUGGCUCAGAUUGAACGCUGGUGGUAUGCUUAACACAUGCAAGUCGAACGGUAACAUUGGAGCUUGCUCCAGAUGACGAGUGGCGGACGGGUGAGUAACGCGUAGGAAUCUGCCUAGUAGUGGGGGACAACAUGUGGAAACGCAUGCUAAUACCGCAUACGCCCUACGGGGGAAAGCGGGGGAUCUUCGGACCUCGCGCUAUUAGAUGAGCCUGCGUUAGAUUAGCUUGUUGGUGGGGUAAUGGCCUACCAAGGCGACGAUCUAUAGCUGGUCUGAGAGGACGAUCAGCCACACUGGGACUGAGACACGGCCCAGACUCCUACGGGAGGCAGCAGUGGGGAAUAUUGGACAAUGGGCGCAAGCCUGAUCCAGCAAUACCACGUGUGUGAAGAAGGCCUGAGGGUUGUAAAGCACUUUCAAUUGGGAGGAAAACAGCUGGGUUAAUAGCCCUGCUCUUGACAUUACCUUUAGAAGAAGCACCGGCUAACUCCGUGCCAGCAGCCGCGGUAAUACGGAGGGUGCGAGCGUUAAUCGGAAUUACUGGGCGUAAAGCGUACGUAGGCGGUUAUUUAAGUCAGAUGUGAAAGCCCCGGGCUCAACCUGGGAACUGCAUUUGAAACUGGAUAACUAGAGUUUGAUA